AAGAGACGAUGCAGAUGAUAUGAAUCAAAUGGAAAGAGAAAAAUAUCAAGCAGGAGUAAAGAAAGUUUAAGAUAAAUUUCAGCCAAAAUUUCGACUCUCGUUUCUUUCUCUUUUUUGGUUUUGUUGUUAUUGUUCAUUUCUAUACUGGGAA
rnacentral:ribozyme from 14 species